CCAGCUCCAAUAGCGUAUAUUUAAGUUGUUGCAGUUAAAAAGCUCGUAGUUGGAUUUCGGGCGGGGUUCGUCGGUCCGCCUCUGGUGUGCACUGCCGGGCCUCGCCUUUCUGUCGAGGACGGGCUCCUGGGCUUCACUGUCCGGGACUCGGGCUCGACGAGGUUACUUUGAGUAAAUUAGAGUGUUCAAAGCAGGCGAUCGCCCUGAAUACAUUAGCAUGGAAUAGCACGAUAGGACUCUGGCCUAUCUUGCUGGUCUGUAGGACCGGAGUAAUGAUUAAGAGGGACAGUCGGGGGCAUUCGUAUUUCAUUGUCAGAGGUGAAAUUCUUGGAUUUAUGAAAGACGAACUUCUGCGAAAGCAUUUGCCAAGGAUGUUUUCA
rnacentral:rRNA from 1 species